rnacentral:RNase_P_RNA from 1 species
UGAGUAGCACAGAUGGUCGCGCCUUUUAUAAGGUGAGGAAAGUCCGGGCUUCAUAGGGCAGGGUGCCGGAUAAUGUCCGGUGGAGGCGACUCCAAGGCUAGUGCAACAGAAAUAAACCGCCAGGGCAGGAAUUUUCCUGCUGUGGUAAGGAUGGAAAGGUGGUUUAAGAGACCACCGCCCUUCUGGUAACAGAAGGGGCAUAUGUAAACCCCACCUGAAGCAAAGCCGAACAGAGAGCUAUACGGUUGCCCGCCGUGCUUUCGGGUAGGCUGCGUAGUAUCUGUGAAAGCGGAUACUGGAGCCGUAUGGUAACAUACGGUCAAGAUAGAUGACCAUCCAAGACAGAACCCGGCUUAUAGUGCUGCUCAUACC